rnacentral:rRNA from 1 species
UACAGAGGGGGCAAGCGUUGUUCGGAAUUACUGGGCGUAAAGGGCUCGUAGGCGGCCAACUAAGUCAGACGUGAAAUCCCCAGGCUCAACCUGGGAACUGCGUCUGAUACUGGAUGGCUUGAAUUCGGGAGAGGGAUGCAGAAUUCCAGGUGUAGCGGUGAAAUGCGUAGAUAUCUGGAGGAAUACCGGUGGCGAAGGCGGCAUCCUGGACCGACAUUGACGCUGAGGCGCGAAAGCUAGGGGAGCAAACGGG